GUGCCAGCGCGCCGCGGUAAUACCGGCAGCCCGAGUAAUGGCCGAUCUUAUUGGGCCUAAAGCGUCCGUAGCUGGCCGCGCAAGUCCAUCGGGAAAUCCACCUGCUCAACAGGUGGGCGCCCGGUGGAAACUGUGCGGCUUGGGACCGGAAGGCGCGACGGGUACGUCCGGGGUAGGAGUGAAAUCCCGUAAUCCUGGACGGACCGCCGAUGGCGAAAGCACGUCGCGAGAACGGAUCCGACAGUGAGGGACGAAAGCCAGGGUCUCGAACCGGAUUAGAUACCCCUGUAGUCC
rnacentral:rRNA from 1 species